rnacentral:rRNA from 1 species
GAAGCGGCAACAGCUCAAAUUUGAAAUCUGGCGCAAGCCCGAGUUGUAAUUUGUAGAGGAUGCUUCUGGGUAGCGACCGGUCUAAGUUCCUUGGAACAGGACGUCAUAGAGGGUGAGAAUCCCGUAUGUGACCGGCCCGCACCCUUUACGUAGCUCCUUCGACGAGUCGAGUUGUUUGGGAAUGCAGCUCUAAAUGGGAGGUAAAUUUCUUCUAAAGCUAAAUACCGGCCAGAGACCGAUAGCGCACAAGUAGAGUGAUCGAAAGAUGAAAAGUACUUUGGAAAGAGAGUUAAAAAGCACGUGAAAUUGUUGAAAGGGAAGCGCCUGCAAUCAGACUUCGCGGCAGUGUUCCGCCGGUCUUCUGACCGGUUCAUUCUCUGUCGCGAGGCCAUCAUCGUCUCGGCCCGCUGGAUAAGACCUUGGGAAUGUAGCUCACCUUCGGGGGAGUGUUAUAGCUUAGGGUGAUGCAGCGCGGCUGGGGCGAGGUCCGCGCUUCGGCAAGGAUGAUGGCGUAAUGGUUGUCGGCGGCCCGUCUUGAAACACGGACCAAGGAGUCUAACAUCUAUGCGAGUGUUCGGGUGUCAAACCCCUACGCGUAAUGAAAGUGAACGGAGGUGGGAACCGCAAGGUGCACCAUCGACCGAUCCUGAUGUCCUCGGAUGGAUUUGAGUAAGAGCAUAGCUGUUGGGACCCGAAAGAUGGUGAACUAUGCCUGAAUAGGGUGAAGCCAGAGGAAACUCUGGUGGA